rnacentral:tRNA from 1 species
GGGUCGUGCGCAGCACUGGCGACUGCACCGGACUGUAAAUCCGGCCUCCUUCGGGACACCACGGGGUUCGACUCCCUGACGACCCACCA